UACGUAGGGUCCGAGCGUUGUCCGGAUUCAUUGGGCGUAAAGGGUGCGUAGGCGGGCGCGGUAAGUCGGGUGUGAAAUCUCGGAGCUUAACUCCGAAACUGCAUUCGAUACUGCCGUGCUUGAGGACUGGAGAGGAGACGUGGAAUUUACGGUGUAAGCGGUGAAAUGCGUAGAUAUUCGACAAGAACACCAGGUGGCGAAGGCGGCUCACUGGCCCGGUACUGACGCUGAGGCACGAAAGCGUGGGGAGCAAACAGG
rnacentral:rRNA from 1 species